CUAACGUAGCCACUAUAGCUCAGUGGUUAGAGCACUGGUCUCGUAAACCAGGGGUCAUGAGUUCAAUCCUCACAUGCUAGA